UGAAUCCUCCCGCAUCGCAUCGAGUUCGCGAGAAGUCUCCCGCACGGAGGCGACGCGAGAUGGGGUGGCGGCGCUGCAGCGGCUGCCGCGCCAACGGGCCUCGGACGCGACUGCGACUCGACGCUCUUCCCUGCGGCACCCAUCGCCUCCGGCCUCCUCCUCUCCGAGAUGAUCAGAGGGAAUUAACAAGCCAUUUGGAGUAUCCGCACUGCAUUGCCAAAAACUGAAGCCUUAAUUCACAUGUCUCGAGCUGGCUGGUCUCGACCUUCAAUUCCCAUAUCUCACAUGUUCUCUGCAGAAAAAUUCAGAGAUCUCAUCUCCAUCAGAAUAUUACUGCUCGUAUAUUGCUGCUCAAGUCGAGUUCCUCAAGAUCCAAAGGGUGAGCGUGCAGUCGGCUCCUCACCUCCACCGUGGCCGAUCCAAAGUGUUCCAGUGUGUACGCAUGCUCUUGUAGUGGAGGGAGGCAACUCAGGAUUGGCGUUUAGUGUGUGAGUUCUGCUGUAUUUCCUUAUGACAUCACGCAUCUUGCAGACACGGAUAAUUUCUUGUUUUCCUGCCUGCAACAUUCGGUUCUUGAGUAGCUAAUUAUGUUAUUCCCCUACCUGAUUCUGACACCAUGGUAGAGAGGAUUAGUAUUGCCAGCAAGAUUUUCUUUUCACAUAGCUGCUGGAUGCAUCAGAACUCCAUGCAGGUUGACAACCAACAGAUCAAAAACAUAUUUGUCGUCAUCCUGACAAUAUUUUGCUUCCAGUCAGUAAAACUUGGUGACCUAAGUUUAAGCUAUACA